GAGACUCUGUGCGCGUGCAUAUCAAUAAGCGGAGGAAAAGAAACUAACAAGGAUUCCCUUAGUAACGGCGAGUGAAGCGGGAAGAGCUCAAAUUUGAAAUCUUCAAGGUUCUACCUUGACGAAUUGUAGUUUAUAGAAGUGUUUUCUGUUAGUAGAGUGGCAAAAGUUCUUUGGAGUAGGACAUCAUAGAGGGUGAGAAUCCCGUAUUUGGUCAUUCCUUCCUAGCGUUGUGAUACACUUUCAACGAGUCGGAUUGUUUGGGAAUGCAGUCCAAAAUGGGUGGUAAAUUUCAUCUAAAGCUAAAUAUUGGCGAGAGACCGAUAGCGAACAAGUACCGUGAGGGAAAGAUGAAAAGAACUUUGAAAAGAGAGUUAAACAGUACGUGAAAUUGUCAAAAGGGAAGCGUUUGACACCAGUGUUGUUUUUCCGAAAAUCAAUUACGAAUGUUUUGUUUUUAAGAAGUUAUGACUUCAUCGGCUUGCUUCUCUCUUUACGAAACUUUCUUAAUGCACUUUUCGGUUAACAAGUCAACAUCAAUUUCUUUUGUUGUAAAAGGGUAUGAGGAAGGUGGCUUUCUUUUCGGAGAAAGUGUUUAUAGCCUUGUAGCCUCUGCAAUCGGAGAGAUUGAGGUCUGCAGCGUAGAUCCUUCGGGGUUAGAUACAUUGGUGCUAAGUUAUAGCUUGUCAUAGACAACUUGUUGACUAUGUUAAGUCAUUGUAGCUUACUCGCUGAUGCUAUUUUACCUACGCUUAGGAUGUUGAACUCUAUCACACACAG
rnacentral:rRNA from 1 species